CUAAGCAUGACAUGUAUUUGCAUAUGCAUUUUUGCAAAUAAAAGUACUCAUGAUUUAAAUUGGUUUUCAUUAAAUCAAAUUUUCAAAAGAAAGUCGAGUAAGAAUAUUGUUGGUGUUCUUAACUCAAGAAUUUAGUUUUCAAAUAUUUAUUAAAUUUUGAAAACCCGGCUAAGUGAAUCAUAGGAUGAUAAGCACUUCACCAUGACUUAAGAUUAGAUUGAGAAAACCUAUUAAGAAUAGAAUUUCUUGUAGGCUUUAUGAACCAAGGGGAUUAGCGCUGCUUUCCCAAGACGAGUUUAUGUGAUUAUGAUCUUCAGGCUUUGCCUAUCCAGGUUGGCUGGCCGGUGCUGACGGGACGGAGCUGAGGCUAGAGUUAAAUUCCUAUGUUAGACUUCCGCUGUAGCAAUUACUCAUAUCAGUCUUUUGUUUUCCCAACUUAAGAUCUUUAUCAUAAAUUUCAAAUGAUAUACCUGACCGAGCUUAGACUCUUUACUAUUAAAUUUAUGCCAAUGAAUGUCGGUUGUCAGAAGCAUGAAACAAAACUUGUGAUCCAAAGGGGCAUAGCCCGACUUUCUAUCCUAUUUCGGGUUUUAACAAGGUAUUUCCCUUGUUUAUUU